rnacentral:rRNA from 1 species
AACGAACGCUGGCGGCAUGCCUAACACAUGCAAGUCGAACGAGACCUUCGGGUCUAGUGGCGCACGGGUGCGUAACGCGUGGGAAUCUGCCCUUAGGUUCGGAAUAACAGUUGGAAACGACUGCUAAUACCGGAUGAUGUCUUCAGUCCAAAGAUUUAUCGCCCUAGGAUGAGCCCGCGUUGGAUUAGCUAGUUGGUGAGGUAAAGGCCAACCAAGGCGACGAUCCUUAGCUGGUCUGAGAGGAUGAUCAGCCACACUGGGACUGAGACACGGCCCAGACUCCUACGGGAGGCAGCAGUGGGGAAUAUUGGACAAUGGGCGAAAGCCUGAUCCAGCAAUGCCGCGUGAGUGAUGAAGGCCUUAGGGUUGUAAAGCUCUUUUACCCGGGAUGAUAAUGACAGUACCGGGAGAAUAAGCUCCGGCUAACUCCGUG